rnacentral:lncRNA from 1 species
UAUAUGAAGUCUUGCUUGAGAAUGCUUCGGGCACCUGGUUGUGGAAGGUAGAAUGGAAAUUACAACAAAAAAAUCCUAACUAUAAUAGAAUACUAAUUAGGCCAUAUUAAUGCUAAACAAGCUUUAAUCAAAUUCAAAGAAACUUCAAAGAAAUUUCAAAGAAACAAUAAGAAAUCUUAAAAAAAUAUUAGAAUGAUCACAAAUAUAUCUCAAAUACAUUUCAAUUCUAUCUUAAUUUAAUCCUAGUUAAAAUCCUAUUGAACUUCAUUCAAACUUUAGGCCAAAACUAAUUAAAUCUUAAACCCUAAAUAAAUCCUAAUAAAAUCCUAAAUCCUAAAUCCUAAAUCAAACCCUAAUCAAAUUCAAAAUCCUAAAUCAAAUCCUAAAUCUUAAACCAAAUCCUAAAUCCUAAACCAAAUCCUAACCAAAUCCUAAAUCAAAUCCUAACCAAAUCCUAAAUCCUAAAUAAAAUCCUAACCAAACUCUAAACCCUAAACCAAAUCCUGAACAAACCCUAAACCAAAUCCCAACCAAAUCCUAAACCAAACUCUAACCAAAUCCUAACCCUAAAUCAAAUCCUAACCAAACUCUAAAUCUUAAAUCAAACCUCAAGCAAAUCCUAACCCUAAAUCAAAUCCUAACCAAACUCUAAACCC